rnacentral:rRNA from 1 species
UACGUAGGGUGCGAGCGUUAAUCGGAAUUACUGGGCGUAAAGCGUGCGCAGGCGGCUUUGCAAGACAGAUGUGAAAUCCCCGGGCUUAACCUGGGAACUGCAUUUGUGACUGCAUGGCUAGAGUGCGGCAGAGGGGGAUGGAAUUCCGCGUGUAGCAGUGAAAUGCGUAGAUAUGCAGAGGAACACCGAUGGCGAAGGCAAUCCCCUGGGCCUGCACUGACGCUCAUGCACGAAAGCGUGGGGAGCAAACAGG